rnacentral:rRNA from 1 species
GACGAACGCUGGCGGCGCGCCUAAAACAUGCAAGUCGAACGAGAAGCCCGGGCUUGCCCGGGUGGACAGUGGCGAACGGGUGAGUAACACGUGAGGAACCUGCCCCGAAGACCGGGACAACAUCGGGAAACCGUUGCUAAUACCGGAUGCCCUCGAAGAAUCGCAUGGUUCAUCGAGGAAAUGGAUUCCGCUUCGGGAUGGCCUCGCGGCCUAUCAGCUUGUUGGUGAGGUAAUGGCUCACCAAGGCUUCGACGGGUAGCUGGUCUGAGAGGAUGUCCAGCCACACUGGGACUGAGACACGGCCCAGACUCCUACGGGAGGCUG